AGUAACUGCGAGUGAAGCGGGAAAAGCUCAAAUUUAAAAUCCUUCGGGAAUUGUAGUCUCGAGAAGCAUUUUCGGCCGUGGCCUCGGACAAGUCCCUUGGAACAGGGCGUCAUAGAGGGUGAGAAUCCCGUCCUUGCCGAGCACACCAUGUCUAUGUGAUAUGCUUUCGAAGAGUCGAGUUGUUUGGGAAUGCAGCUCAAAAUGGGUGGUAAACUCCAUCUAAAGCUAAAUAUUGGCGAGAGACCGAUAGCGAACAAGUACCGUGAGGGAAAGAUGAAAAGCACUUUGGAAAGAGAGUUAAACAGUACGUGAAAUUGUUGAAAGGGAAGCGCUUGAAGUCAGUCGCGUCUCCGGAGACUCAGCCUCACGGCGCAUUUCUUCGUUGACGGGCCAACAUCAGUUUUGGCCGCGGGAAAAGGACCUGGGGAAUGUGGCAGCUCCGGCUGUGUUAUAGCCUCUUGUCGUACACCGCGGCUGGGACUGAGGACUGCUUAAUAGGAUGUUGGCGUAAUGGCUUUAAGCGACCCGUCUUGAAACACGGACCAAGGAGUCUAACAUGUCUGCGAGUGUUUGGGUGUCAAACCCAUGCGCGUAAUGAAAGUGAAUGCAGGUGGGAGGCCUCGGCCGCACCAUCGACCGAUCCGGAUCUUUAGUGAUGGAUUUGAGUAAGAGCAUAUAUGUUGGGACCCGAAAGAUGGUGAACUAUGCCUGAAUAGGGUGAAGCCAGAGGAAACUCUGGUGGAGGCUCGUAGCGAUUCUGACGUGCAAAUCGAUCGUCAAAUUUGGGUAUA
rnacentral:rRNA from 1 species